rnacentral:rRNA from 1 species
UACGAACGCUGGCGGCGUGCUUAACACAUGCAAGUCGAACGCUGAAGACCUGGCUUUUGUUGGGUUGGAUGAGUGGCGAACGGGUGAGUAACACGUGAGUAACCUGCCCUCUUCUUUGGGAUAACGCCCGGAAACGGGUGCUAAUACUGGAUAUUCACUGGCCUUCGCAUGGGGGUUGGUGGAAAGGUUUGUUCUGGUGGGGGAUGGGCUCGCGGCCUAUCAGCUUGUUGGUGGGGUGAUGGCCUACCAAGGCUUUGACGGGUAGCCGGCCUGAGAGGGUGACCGGUCACAUUGGGACUGAGAUACGGCCCAGACUCCUACGGGAGGCAGCAGUGGGGAAUAUUGCACAAUGGGCGAAAGCCUGAUGCAGCGACGCCGCGUGAGGGAUGGAGGCCUUCGGGUUGUAAACCUCUUUCGCUCAUGGUCAAGCCGCAACUGUGGGUUGUGGUGAGGGUAGUGGGUAAAGAAGCGCCGGCUAACUACGUG